CCUACGGGAGGCAGCAGUGAGGAAUAUUGGUCAAUGGUCGAGAGACUGAACCAGCCAAGCCGCGUGAAGGAGGAAGGUACAGAGUGUCGUAAACCUCUUUUGUCAGGGAACAAAGACUGGGACGCGUCCCCGUAUGAAUGUACCUGAAGAAAAAGCAUCGGCUAACUCCGUGCCAGCAGCCGCGGUAAUACGGAGGAUGCGAGCGUUAUCCGGAUUUAUUGGGUUUAAAGGGUGCGUAGGUGGGUUGUUAAGUCAGUUGUGAAAGGUUGCGGCUCAACCGUGACAUUGCAUUUGAUACUGGCAGUCUUGAGUACAGUAGAGGUGGGCGGAAUGCGUGGUGUAGCGGUGAAAUGCUUAGAUAUCGCGAAGAACUCCGAUUGCGAAGGCAGCUUACUGAACUGUGACUGACACUGAUGCUCGAAAGUGUGGGUAUCAAACAGGAUUAGAUACCCCAGUAGUC
rnacentral:rRNA from 1 species